UUCCGGUUGAUCCUGCCAGAGGUUACUGCUAUCGGUGUUCGCCUAAGCCAUGCGAGUCAUAUGUUCUUCGUGAACAUGGCGUACUGCUCAGUAACACGUGGAUAACCUGCCCUUGGGUCCGGCAUAACCCCGGGAAACUGGGGAUAAUUCCGGAUAACGCAUAUAUGCUGGAAUGCUUUAUGCGUAAAAUGGAUUCGUCUGCCCAAGGAUGGGUCUGCGGCCUAUCAGGUAGUAGUGGGUGUAAUGUACCUACUAGCCUACGACGGGUACGGGUUGUGAGAGCAAGAGCCCGGAGAUGGAUUCUGAGACAUGAAUCCAGGCCCUACGGGGCGCAGCAGGCGCGAAAACUUUACAAUGCGGGAAACCGUGAUAAGGGGACACCGAGUGCCAGCAUCAUAUGCUGGCUGUCCAGGUGUGUAAAAUACACCUGUUAGCAAGGGCCGGGCAAGACCGGUGCCAGCCGCCGCGGUAACACCGGCGGCCCGAGUGGUGAUCGUGAUUAUUGGGUCUAAAGGGUCCGUAGCCGGUUUGGUCAGUCCUCCGGGAAAUCUGAUAGCUUAACUAUUAGGCUUUCGGAGGAUACUGCCAGACUUGGAACCGGGAGAGGUAAGAGGUACUACAGGGGUAGGUGUGAAAUCUUGUAAUCCCUGUGGGACCACCUGUGGCGAAGGCGUCUUACCAGAACGGGUUCGACGGUGAGGGACGAAAGCUGGGGGCACGAACCGGAUUAGAUACCCGGGUAGUCCCAGCCGUAAACGAUGCUCGCUAGGUGUCAGGCAUGGCGCGACCGUGUCUGGUGCCGCAGGGAAGCCGUGAAGCGAGCCACCUGGGAAGUACGGCCGCAAGGUUGAAACUUAAAGGAAUUGGCGGGGGAGCACAACAACGGGUGGAGCUGCGGUUUAAUUGGAUUCAACGCCGGA
rnacentral:rRNA from 1 species